rnacentral:rRNA from 1 species
UACGUAGGGGGCAAGCGUUGUUCGGAAUUACUGGGCGUAAAGGGUUCGUAGGUGGCCAACUAAGUCAGACGUGAAAUCCCUCAGCUUAACUGGGGAACUGCGUCUGAUACUGGAUGGCUUGAGUGUAGGAGAGGAAUGCGGAAUUCCAGGUGUAGCGGUGAAAUGCGUAGAUAUCUGGAGGAACACCGGUGGCGAAGGCGGCAUUCUGGGCCGUACCUGACGCUAAAGCGCGACAGCAUGGGGAGCAAACGGG